rnacentral:tRNA from 1 species
GCGGAUGUAGCUCAGUUGGUUAGAGCGCUUGCCUGUCGAGCAGGAGGUCGCGAGUUCAAGUCUCGUCGUCCGCGCCA